GACCCGAGUGCCAGCAUCCUAUGCUGGCUGUCCGGGUGUGUAAAAUACACCUGUUAGCAAGGGCCGGGCAAGACCGGUGCCAGCCGCCGCGGUAACACCGGCGGCCCGAGUGGUGAUCGUGAUUAUUGGGUCUAAAGGGUCCGUAGCCGGUUUGGUCAGUCCUCCGGGAAAUCUGACGGCUCAACCGUUAGGCUUUCGGGGGAUACUGCCAGACUUGGAACCGGGAGAGGUAAGAGGUACUACAGGGGUAGGAGUGAAAUCUUGUAAUCCCUGUGGGACCACCUGUGGCGAAGGCGUCUUACCAGAACGGGUUCGACGGUGAGGGACGAAAGCUGGGGGCACGAACCGGAUUAGAUACCCGGGUAGUCCCAGCCGUAAACGAUGCUCGCUAGGUGUCAGGCAUGGCGCGACCGUGUCUGGUGCCGCAGGGAAGCCGUGAAGCGAGCCACCUGGGAAGUACGGCCGCAAGGCUGAAACUUAAAGGAAUUGGCGGGGGAGCAC
rnacentral:rRNA from 1 species